GAAAUCUCACCAUCCCAAUUGUAUGCUACUGUGCUUUAGGGUUUUGAAGCCCAGAUUGCCAGCCUGGUGAAGAUGUUUCUGUUGGAGGUAUAUAGGUAUAAGCUCUGCCAGUUCACAAGUGCCAUCAAAAAUACAGUCAGGACAUACCUGGCUUAUAAGUUUGAAACUGAUAAUAGCAUCAAAUUCUAAGCUGUCCUAAAAUUGACCAAAAUGAAAAUGAACCGUAUAGGAAUGGAGACGAAGCUAACCAAGAAAAUAAGAAAAAUGAAGAAGCUUUUGCAAGAAAUAUCUCUUAUUGCCUGUGUAUCAGAUGCUUCAAAAUGAGUCCUCACUGUUGUGACAUGAGCCCAAGUGGUCAGAGCAGUAACUCUUAUGCUUCUCACUUUUGUGAACACCUUGUUUGGAGCAGCAGCACUUUAUUUGCAGCUUGAGGAGCCCUAUUCUGCACUGGCAACUGCUAUUUUAGAUGCCCAGUCUGUGCAUCUUCGGCAUCUGUUGUGUUUCUGGUGUUACAACUUGAACCUUAGCUGGGGAGAUAAAAACCUCUAAAGCUGAAGCAAGGUGUAAAAAUGUCAAAAAUCAGAAGAAAGCUGGAUGUGACAAUAAAGGGGUAUCUCUUUCUGUGAAAGAUGUUUGAGCUUUAAAGUUGGGUUCUGAAAGAAGGCAGCAUUUCUACAGUGUGCAACGUAGCACUGAAGUCAAAAGAUGCUCAGAAAAAUCCAUGAAAAUGUCCAUGGUGUUGAUUGUGGCUUUAAGUGCAUUUAUUGUUGCAUGGCUGAGUGGGGCUUAAUGAAGAAUCAUUUCAAGUCACAGAAGGGAUAUAAGAAACCUGAGUGCCUCAUCAGUGAAAGUGUCCUUAUGUCACAGAGUGCCUGGAAAGUGCACAGAAACAGACAGCAGAGAAAGCCUCAUCUCUUCAGGCGCACAAUAUGUUCAUCAUCUUUUGAAACCGAGCAGGUAAGAAAGCCUUAUGUAGUUUGCCUUUAUCAGGAUGUGUUUAAAUGUCUGUACAGUGAUUUUACCAGUCCUGUGACAUCUAGACCCACUGGCUUCAGCUCCAUUGUGAGAUCCUAACAUACAUUGUGUUGGUGGUGACUUAUUGACCACUGAACCACGCUGGAGAAGCUGGUGUACACUGUAUAGAGGGUUAGCAUUCAGAAGAAGAGCUUGGACCUUCACAUAUACUGACAUCACACUGGUGAGGUGUGGUUUUUGCUGCUAUUCUUCUGAGAAACAACUUCUCCAA